CACUUUGUAUGAAACUAUCGAACCCUAGCCAAUAACUCUCACUUUCACUUCAGCGCCUCCUUCUCCUUCCUCUCCAGCUAUCUUUCCACGGCCACCAUUGUCUCUGCCUCCUCCCUCCUCCCUCCGCCGGCAAGCUCUCUCUCUCUCUCUCUCUCUCUCUCUCUCAAAAGAUUGAAAGAAGGGAAAGAAUCGUUCUCUCAAUCUCUCAGUCGAAUAUGGGAAAUCGAUGGCUAGCUACUGCGAGGGUUGAGCGCGGAGAUCUAUGGAAGAGCGACGCUCUCUCUAGCUCAGGCACCACAGAUUUUCACCGACGGCUACUUUUCCUGGUACCAUUGAAAGCUCGAAGAGGUCAACAUCGUUCGCAGCUAUCGAAUCGAUUACUUAUGGAAAAGAGAGAGAGAGUGAACUACUGUUCAGUGUUGGAGGGAGGAAGGAAGGGUUUCCGAUCCCGAUCCCGAUCUCGAUCUCGAUGUCGGCGAUGGAGAUCAAUAGUUCAAUUUCGUGCCCUUCAACUCCUUGUUGGAUCUCCGAGAGGCUGUUCCUCACUGACCACUUCCAUCAGAAAACCAAAACGACGUCGCGUUUCGCCACCGAUACCAAGGAUUCCCAUACUGUAGGAUUCCAAGAUGCCAUUGGCUGUUACAAUGCUGCUGUUCAGGUGAGAUAAAAGAUGAACCUAAAUUUCAAUUUCCGAAUUUUCAAGUUUCAGUGCUUAUGAUGAUGAUGAUGAACUAAGAACUGGUGGAGGUUUCAGAGGCUUAUGUUUAAGCACAAGUUGUACUAGCUAAGGCCGGGAAGAGAGGGAUAUGAAGCCUGAGACUUUUGCUAGACUCGUCUCAGCUAUUAUCUAUUAUUUACGAGAAAAGGCUAAGGCCAUGGCUGGUGAUACUGUUGUAAGGUCAUUGCUAGAAAAGAUGGCUGAAUGUGCUAGCAAUGCGUACCUGGGUAUAUUAGUGAGUAUGAUUUGAUGGGGAAGCUACAAUCUAUAAAGCACUAUCUUCUUCUUGAUCAGGCUUCUCUGGUGCAAAGUUGGAAGAUCUUCAAGAAUUUUUAGACAAUAUGAAAACAAUGUGAACCAUCCAUAUGAUUUCCUCAGUCUUGCAGCGCACCUAAUUCGCAACUUUUUGUGGUAGAUGAAGUGACUGCAGCAAUUGUGAACAGAACUGCAAUAGAAAUUGCUAGGCUAGACUGGUAGUAGGUUAAUUGGGGUUUUAUUUUGCCUAUUUUGUGUACUGUCAAGGAUAAUGAUUUUGGACAGAAUACUCUAAUAUUCAAAUUACUUUUGUCAAA